rnacentral:rRNA from 1 species
GGGGAAUUUUGGACAAUGGGCGCAAGCCUGAUCCAGCAAUGCCGCGUGAGUGAAGAAGGCCUUCGGGUUGUAAAGCUCUUUCAGUCGAGAAGAAAAGGCUGCAGUGAAUAGCUGCAGCUCAUGACGGUAUCGACAGAAGAAGCACCGGCUAACUACGUGCCAGCAGCCGCGGUAAUACGUAGGGUGCGAGCGUUAAUCGGAAUUACUGGGCGUAAAGGGUGCGCAGGCGGCUUUGUAAGUCAGAUGUGAAAUCCCCGGGCUUAACCUGGGAAUUGCGUUUGAAACUACAAGGCUAGAGUGUGGCAGAGGGAGGUGGAAUUCCAUGUGUAGCAGUGAAAUGCGUAGAGAUAUGGAAGAACAUCGAUGGCGAAGGCAGCCUCCUGGGUUAACACUGACGCUCAUGCACGAAAGCGUGGGGAGCAAAC